UCACGAGGAGAUAACUGUGCCAUCAAAAUCGGAAACCUCCCCGCUCCCCCAUAUCAACACAGUUCCCUUUCUCGUCUCGUAGGAUCCCUAUAUAUUUUUUUUUGAGGGGAUAGGAUCCCUAUAUUGAGAAGAUCAAUCAUGGCAUGCCUUCCCUCCUGAACCUCAUAGCUGACCCGGCCGAUUCAUUGAUGUUGAGGGCACAAGAGGCGUGUCUUGUUCAGCAACUGGGACGGAAAGCAGAUCAAUCCCCACCCCCGAUUCACAGAAACACAAGUGCACACCAAGUGUUUGAUAGUUGUCCUCUGUUAUUGGUUUAAAAUUUUGGGGGCCUUCAGAUAGAGGGGGUUGUUUCUGAUUCUUCUUCUAUAAGGUCUACUGAACAUAAGAGGUGGCUUAAAUCUGGUAACUGUUAGGGUGUCAGGUGUGGACGCGUACAAUAUUUCAAUCUAGUUCUGCACCAUUACUACCUUGACGAUAUGUCAUGGACAAGAAUUUCAGUGCAUAGCAAGGGGAGAUAUAUUCUCCUGCACAAAGGUAUAUUUCCAUUACGAUGUACAAUAUGUUGAAAAUAUGUUGCUCCAGUGGUUAUGUAUCCACUGGUUAUCUUGCUAUCAGAAUGCUGUUCAAAACAGAUAAACUUUGCUUGAGAAUGUGAGUGCAUGUCAGGGAGAAAAAAAUUCUGUUGCAAACAAGCUGGUAUCUUUUCAUAAUCGCAUACAAAUUUUGUGCAAACUAUAGUGCUAGCUUGUUUAUUUGGUUAUUACUUCUUCUUGGCUAUCAGGCUGUUGUCGAGACCAAUAAAACAACAAAAGGUGCUAAUGCAUGCAGUAAGAGUGCUCGAAGUGGUUCGCUGAGUUGGAUGGAUGCCAAUGAACUACCUGCAGGAACUAAAGUAUUCUUGAAGAGCCUGAAAAAUCAUAACAAGGGCGUAGCUUUAGCUACAAUGGUAAGUUCUGAUCCUAAAUUUAGACUUGAUGGUCCUGAAAUUAGAAAUGAAUUCUGGGCAGUGCAUGUCGAUAUGGCACUCGUGCAAACUGAAAAUUUGGUAUGAAGUUGCAAAACGUGUGAUACUCUUGGUGAUGCAGAAAAAGCAAAGAUUGCAUGACCUUCAACCUUUAUUCAAAAGAUAAAUGGAUGAGUAUAUGGGAGCGUGGCGAUUAUAGUGCAAUGAUGAUGUCGCUCUUCCGUUUCAUGAUGAUGACGAUGGAUGCUUUUAGUUUUAGUUAUGUUGUAGGGAUGAUGUUCCCGUCGGGUGUUGUUCCUCAGUUAAGAUGGAUAUUUUCAGUUUAAGUUUUGCUGUUAAGAAAAUUGUUAGAUUAUGCAUCACAUUUGGAUGAUGUUCCUCCUGUAAUAUCCACUAUUGUAAUCCAACAGUUUUGUUCUAAUAUACGAUUUCUUCCUGCCGUGAGUA